AGCGAACGCUGGCGGCAGGCCUAACACAUGCAAGUCGAACGAAGUCUUCGGACUUAGUGGCGGACGGGUGAGUAACACGUGGGAACGUACCUUUUGGUUCGGAACAACUCGGGGAAACUUGAGCUAAUACCGGAUGAGCCCUUAGGGGGAAAGAUUUAUCGCCGAAAGAGCGGCCCGCGUUAGAUUAGCUAGUUGGUGAGGUAAAGGCUCACCAAGGCUACGAUCUAUAGCUGGUCUGAGAGGAUGAUCAGCCACACUGGGACUGAGACACGGCCCAGACUCCUACGGGAGGCAGUAGUGGGGAAUCUUGCGCAAUGGGCGGAAGCCUGACGCAGCCAUGCCGCGUGAAUGAUGAAGGUCUUAGGAUUGUAAAAUUCUUUUACCAGGGACGAUAAUGACGGUGCCUGGAGAAAAAGCCCCGGCUAACUUCGUGCCAGCAGCCGCGGUAAUAC
rnacentral:rRNA from 1 species